AGAAACUAACAAGGAUUCCCCUAGUAACUGCGAGUGAAGCGGGAAAAGCUCAAAUUUAAAAUCUGGCGGUCUUUGGCCGUCCGAGUUGUAGUCUGGAGAAGUGCUUUCCGCGCUGGACCGUGUAUAAGUCUCUUGGAACAGAGCGUCAUAGAGGGUGAGAAUCCCGUCUUUGACACGGACUACCAGUGCUUUGUGAUGCGCUCUCAAAGAGUCGAGUUGUUUGGGAAUGCAGCUCAAAAUGGGUGGUGAAUUCCAUCUAAAGCUAAAUAUUGGCGAGAGACCGAUAGCGAACAAGUACCGUGAGGGAAAGAUGAAAAGCACUUUGGAAAGAGAGUUAAACAGUACGUGAAAUUGCUGAAAGGGAAACGCUUGAAGUCAGUCGCGUUGUCUGGGACUCAGCCUUGCUUUUGCUUGGUGCACUUUCCGGAUGACGGGCCAGCAUCGAUUUUGACCGUCGGAAAAGGGCUAGGGUAAUGUGGCACCUCCGGGUGUGUUAUAGACUUUAGUCGCAUACGGCGGUCGGGAUCGAGGAACGCAGCGCGCCGUAAGGCAGGGGUUCGCCCACUUUCGCGCUUAGGAUGCUGGCGUAAUGGCUUUAAACGACCCGUCUUGAAACACGGACCAAGGAGUCUAACAUACCUGCGAGUGUUUGGGUGGAAAACCCGAGCGCGUAAUGAAAGUGAAAGUUGAGACCUCUGUCGUGGAGGGCAUCGACGCCCGGACCUGACGUUCUCUGACGGAUCCGCGGUAGAGCAUGUAUGUUGGGACCCGAAAGAUGGUGAACUAUGCCUGAAUAGGGUGAAGCCAGAGGAAACUCUGGUGGAGGCUCGUAGCGAUUCUGACGUGCAAAUCGAUCGUCAAAUUUGGGUAUAGGGGCGAAAGACUAAUCGAACCAUCUAGUA
rnacentral:rRNA from 1 species